CUCCGUCCCGCCCGGGCUGCUCGCCCCGCCCCCGCGCGGCGCUGGGAGGCGGGAGCUGUCUCUGAGAACCUGCGGGAGAGCGCCCGGGCUUGCUGCUUCCCGGACCCGCGCGUCUCUCGAGCACCCUCGUCCCACCACCUUGUGAGGCCGUAGUGUUAUUUUUAUUUUUUAGAUCAGCAGACUGAGACUCGAGGUGACGUCACUCCGCAGAGAGGUUAGAGCACAGCAGACUGAGCCACCCAGAACUGGCCCCUCCGGUGGACCAGCCCCUGCGGAUUCACAGACCACUGGUCCUGGAAGGGACCUUGUCAAGCAGGCCCAUAAGAACCUGUGAGGCAAAAACGAAAGAAGAAGGCAGGACACGCAGUGUAACAAACCUUGGAAUGGACUUCGCCAGACUUCAUCAGAAGAAAGCAGUGCAAGAGGGGACUGCAGAGGAAAGCUGGGGCUUGGGAAACCAGCAGCAGGGGCCACGUGGGCAGGUGGUUUCUGUGUGAACCUCUGAUCUGUGCAACAUAAACAGGAAAUGUUGAAGGCUUCCAGUGCUCUUUUUUGAUGUCGAGAACAUUCUACGGCACAAAAGAGUUUGCCUCUCACUGUUUCUCAUAUAUGGAGGUUUUCUAAUCAGCAUCCUGAACAGAAUUGAAUUAAAAAUAAAAACCAAAGUAAAACUAGCUUUAUCUCUAGAUUUUAAAAUU
rnacentral:lncRNA from 1 species